rnacentral:tRNA from 1 species
GUGCCUAUAGCUUAAUGGUCAAAGCUCCGCUUUGUGGAAGCGGCGAUACGGGUUCGACUCCCGUUAGGCACC